CCUUUAAUUUGAAGCUUUGUUUAGCUGGUGCUUUUAUUUUGAAGGCCGAAUUUAAGUUUUUCAGGAAGUCUGUGUCAGCCAUAUUAGUUUUCAUUUUACCAUGCUGCCUGCCUGUUGUAAUUCUCUUCCAUCCUCAUCUUGUUUUCAUCUCCAACCCCAUCGUCUGACAACUGGGAAUUUGACUAACUGUUGGAGGCAGGUGGUGAGCCAACUGGUGACAGCAGGGCUUGAGGACAGGAGGCAUCUGUGAAUCCGUGAAUAUGGAGAACCCCCUAUCUCCGCGGCCAAAGAAUGUCUAUUACCCAUUGGUAUAUAUUAAUCACUGCUGUUACUCUUUAAAAACACUUCUGAUCAUGCUUUGUAAAAAUAUUUAUUGCGUUAGGAGCGCACGCUCCCUCUUCUAAUAAUAACCACCUGAUAAUUAUGCUUCCUGAUUAUCUUCUUCGGCGUAUCGGUAUUUUUUUUUACCGAUUCUGAGUCAGCUGAUGCCAUUUCUCCAUGCAGGAGCAUAAAGAGAGAGGAAGGGGUGCUCCUCUUGUGGAGGGGGUUCUGCUGUGCGGAGAUGCACCUCAAUAGCGUAGCACCUCGUUCGGAUGCAAACAUUUCAUACAAGCAUCUUGAAUUGUCGAAGUUUUUGUGAUGAGCCGGAAGAGUCACAUUACUGAAAAAAUAUCCUCAAAUACUUGAAACCGCAUAUAAAAAAAACGCGAAUAAGCGGGGUAACACUGUACAUGCAUGUAUUUCUACAGUAUACCUUGUUGUGCUUUAAAUAUGCAUUUUAGGCAUGUUAAAUAAAAGGUUUAAGUAAUUUUUUAGUUCAUAAUGUACAUGAUUUAAAAAUUUGAAAUAAGUUCUUUUAACAACUUCCUCACAACUUUAGGUGAGCCCCAGGGUUCUCUCUGGGGGCCUUUUCUCUUCAUUUCCUGCCCCCUUCCCCUCAGCAAUAUCUUCUGUUAUUAUUAUAUUAAUUUUUAUUGCUUUGCGUAUGACACUGAGCUCCAUUUAUCAACCCAUCACCCAAAAGCACAUUAUUAAUCUUACCCUGUCGGCAUAUUUCAAUCUAUCAAAAUCCGUUGUCUCUGCCCCCUCCCCGCCAUUCUGCUUCCCCUGGUUUGCAGCCUCAUCAAGUUCUCAUUGAUUAUUAUAAUUCCUUUGUCUUCAGUCUUUCUCAUAAAUCCUUUAGUUACCUUCAAGUUGUUUAAACUCAGCUGCCCCGAACAUCACCAAAAGCCCUUGAAGAACUCCACCCCAGUCGAAACAAAAAAUGGGUUCUUCCUGUUUUCAAGAUUACCCACCCCCUCCCCUUAUUGAUCUUUUUAAUAUCUCUGUUCCCUCUGAUUCCCUUGGAGCUUCUUCCUCCUUCCAUCUCACAGCUUCUUCAUUAGUUUUACCAAGAUGGGAGGAAGAGACUCUGCUUCCAGACUCUGGAAUGCUUUCCAUCUCUAAAUCUGUACUUUAAACCUUUGCAAACUUUGAAAUCCCGUCUCAAAAACUCCUUAUUUAACUAACUUUCACUGUUUUAUUGUUUUGAACACUUUUCUUUUGUUUCAUUAGAUAAUUCAAUUAGCUGCUUUUAAUGUCAUGGUUAUAUCUUUUAUUGUAUUUAUUGUAACCCUUUUCAGAGAUGCUUGUUAAUGAAAUUAAUUUUCAUCAGUAUUAAUCAUAAUUUUUGUCUGCCAAUAUUUGAGUUCAGAUAAAUUUCUUCCAGGUUGUGAUCACACCUAUGCAUUUCCUUUUUUUCGUGAACAAAUCCUUUAUUGAUGUUCCGAGCUAUACUAACAGUAUUACUUUUAGAAAAAUUAAGUACUUUGUUCUGAUUGAAAUAGCUUAAAUUGGGUUUUAACUUAAAAAAAAAAAAAAA